rnacentral:rRNA from 1 species
UUAGUCCUAACCUUACCGUUAAUUCUUGCUAAACAUAUACAUGCAAGUAUCCGCGCUCCAGUGUAAAUGCCCUCAGUGCCUUACUAAGGCCCGAGGAGCGGGCAUCAGGCACACCCACAGUCGUAGCCCAAGACGUCUUGCUCAGCCACACCCCCACGGGUACUCAGCAGUAAUUAACAUUAAGCAAUAAGUGUAAACUUGACUUAGUUAUAGCAAUCCCUAGGGUUGGUCAAUCUUGUGCCAGCCACCGCGGUCACACAAGAAACCCAAAUUAACCGUAAUACGGCGUAAAGCGUGACAUUAUGCUAUCCCUCUAACUAGGAUCAAAAUACAACUAAGCUGUCAUAAGCUCAUGAUGUACCCAAAAUCAACCUGAAAACGAUCCCAGCCCCAACGAUCUAUUAACCGUCACGAAAGCUAGAAUACAAACUGGGAUUAGAUACCCCACUAUGCCUAGCCCUAAAUCUUGAUACUUCCCCCACCAAAGUAUUCGCCCGAGAACUACGAGCACAAACGCUUAAAACUCUAAG